rnacentral:rRNA from 1 species
GUAGGUGGCAAGCGUUGUCCGGAAUUAUUGGGCGUAAAGCGCGCGCAGGCGGUUCGUUUAAGUCUGAUGUGAAAGCCCACGGGCUCAACCGUGGAGGGCAUUGGAAACUGGAGAACUUGAGUACAGAAGAGGAAAGCGGAAUUCCACGUGUAGCGGUGAAAUGCGUAGAGAUGUGGAGGAACACCAGUGGCGAAGGCGGCUUUCUGGUCUGUAACUGACGCUGAGGCGCGAAAGCGUGGGGAGCAAACAGGAUUAGAUACCCUGGUAGUCCACGCCGUAAACGAUGAGUGCUAAGUGUUAGGGGGGUUUCCGCCCCUUAGUGCUGCAGCUAACGCAUUAAGCACUCCGCCUGGGGAGUACGGCCGCAAGGCUG